rnacentral:rRNA from 1 species
UACGAAGGGGGCUAGCGUUGCUCGGAAUUACUGGGCGUAAAGCGCACGUAGGCGGCUUUCUAAGUCGGGGGUGAAAUCCUGGAGCUCAACUCCAGAACUGCCUUCGAUACUGGAGAGCUCGAGUCCGGGAGAGGUGAGUGGAACUGCGAGUGUAGAGGUGAAAUUCGUAGAUAUUAGGAAGAACACCAGUGGCGAAGGCGACUCACUGGUCCGGUACUGACGCUGAGGUGCGAAAGCGUGGGGAGCAAACAGG